GUGAAGCUGUGUGGAAAACUCCGUCACAGCCAUUGAUUGCUUCACGCAAACUCUGAUAAUCAAGAAGAUCACCUCUGCAUAGUGUUAGCCUCUCUUUUGCUCCUUCAAGUUCUCUCAAAUGACAAUUCUUUGGAUCAUCAGGAUUUCUUACAGUUCCCCUAACAGUGUAGCCUUUUUCCAAAAGAAGUUUAACGAGCCAAGAGGCGAUGAAGCCUCCGGCACCGGUAACACAGACGACCCGACCGGAGACUGACGGCAUGCUGCUAAAUAUUAAUUUACCGAUGAGAUUAGUGAUG
rnacentral:misc_RNA from 1 species